rnacentral:rRNA from 1 species
ACACUAUCAUUAACUGAAUCCAUAGGUUAAUGAGGCGAACCGGGGGAACUGAAACAUCUAAGUACCCCGAGGAAAAGAAAUCAACCGAGAUUCCCCCAGUAGCGGCGAGCGAACGGGGAGGAGCCCAGAGCCUGAAUCAGUGUGUGUGUUAGUGGAAGCGUCUGGAAAGGCGCGCGAUACAGGGUGACAGCCCCGUACACAAAAAUGCACAUACUGUGAGCUCGAUGAGUAGGGCGGGACACGUGGUAUCCUGUCUGAAUAUGGGGGGACCAUCCUCCAAGGCUAAAUACUCCUGACUGACCGAUAGUGAACCAGUACCGUGAGGGAAAGGCGAAAAGAACCCCGGCGAGGGGAGUGAAAAAGAACCUGAAACCGUGUACGUACAAGCAGUGGGAGCCUCUUAAUGGGGUGACUGCGUACCUUUUGUAUAAUGGGUCAGCGACUUAUAUUCUGUAGCAAGGUUAACCGAAUAGGGGAGCCGAAGGGAAACCGAGUCUUAACUGGGCGUUAAGUUGCAGGGUAUAGACCCGAAACCCGGUGAUCUAGCCAUGGGCAGGUUGAAGGUUGGGUAACACUAACUGGAGGACCGAACCGACUAAUGUUGAAAAAUUAGCGGAUGACUUGUGGCUGGGGGUGAAAGGCCAAUCAAACCGGGAGAUAGCUGGUUCUCCCCGAAAGCUAUUUAGGUAGCGCCUCGUGAAUUCAUCUCCGGGGGUAGAGCACUGUUUCGGCAAGGGGGUCAUCCCGACUUACCAACCCGAUGCAAACUGCGAAUACCGGAGAAUGUUAUCACGGGAGACACACGGCGGGUGCUAACGUCCGUCGUGAAGAGGGAAACAACCCAGACCGCCAGCUAAGGUCCCAAAGUCAUGGUUAAGUGGGAAACGAUGUGGGAAGGCCCAGACAGCCAGGAUGUUGGCUUAGAAGCAGCCAUCAUUUAAAGAAAGCGUAAUAGCUCACUGGUCGAGUCGGCCUGCGCGGAAGAUGUAACGGGGCUAAACCAUGCACCGAAGCUGCGGCAGCGACACUAUGUGUUGUUGGGUAGGGGAGCGUUCUGUAAGCCUGUGAAGGUGGCCUGUGAGGGUUGCUGGAGGUAUCAGAAGUGCGAAUGCUGACAUAAGUAACGAUAAAGCGGGUGAAAAGCCCGCUCGCCGGAAGACCAAGGGUUCCUGUCCAACGUUAAUCGGGGCAGGGUGAGUCGACCCCUAAGGCGAGGCCGAAAGGCGUAGUCGAUGGGAAACAGGUUAAUAUUCCUGUACUUGGUGUUACUGCGAAGGGGGGACGGAGAAGGCUAUGUUGGCCGGGCGACGGUUGUCCCGGUUUAAGCGUGUAGGCUGGUUUUCCAGGCAAAUCCGGAAAACCAAGGCUGAGGCGUGAUGACGAGGCACUACGGUGCUGAAGCGACAAAUGCCCUGCUUCCAGGAAAAGCCUCUAAGCAUCAGGUAACAUCAAAUCGUACCCCAAACCGACACAGGUGGUCAGGUAGAGAAUACCAAGGCGCUUGAGAGAACUCGGGUGAAGGAACUAGGCAAAAUGGUGCCGUAACUUCGGGAGAAGGCACGCUGAUAUGUAGGUGAAGCGACUUGCUCGUGGAGCUGAAAUCAGUCGAAGAUACCAGCUGGCUGCAACUGUUUAUUAAAAACACAGCACUGUGCAAACACGAAAGUGGACGUAUACGGUGUGACGCCUGCCCGGUGCCGGAAGGUUAAUUGAUGGGGUUAGCGGUAACGCGAAGCUCUUGAUCGAAGCCCCGGUAAACGGCGGCCGUAACUAUAACGGUCCUAAGGUAGCGAAAUUCCUUGUCGGGUAAGUUCCGACCUGCACGAAUGGCGUAAUGAUGGCCAGGCUGUCUCCACCCGAGACUCAGUGAAAUUGAACUCGCUGUGAAGAUGCAGUGUACCCGCGGCAAGACGGAAAGACCCCGUGAACCUUUACUAUAGCUUGACACUGAACAUUGAGCCUUGAUGUGUAGGAUAGGUGGGAGGCUUUGAAGUGUGGACGCCAGUCUGCAUGGAGCCG